AACAACACAACCAGUCAAUAGCUCCUUACAAGAGUUUAAGACCGUGGAGGCAGCCGGCGUGUGAUAGAUCGUGUACACUUGUGUUAAGAAAUACUUGAGUGUUUCUUCAGAACAACUGAAGGUACCCGAGAUGGAGUUAUGACGGUAUUUACACACCCGGCAACUCUCGGAGAAGUUUUCUUCCAAACUGGAAUAAAUCACUCCAUAAUAGCCAGACAUUGCAGAGCAUGAUGACAGCUCCACCACGGCACACCCCACACCCCCUUUAUGACCACCAUGUCGGACCAGAGUUAGAUGUCCAUGAGCUGUCUCUCUGCUACCCCCAGGGAUAAGCUCCAUGGCUGGACUGUACAACUCCAACAGGGUUUGGUACUACCGCAGACCCCAUCGCAAGGACCCGAAACAGAGCAAAGUUGACAUCUUGGCCUGUUAACCCUCUGACAGGAAGCCCACUGCUGGUGGAAUCAGCAAUAUUGGUACUUAACUGGAUUUAUCAACACCAGUGGCCAAUACACCAGUAGUAUUUCAGGUAUUUGCUUCCUUCUUGUUGACCCGAACUCCUGUGUGACCACCAUGAAGACACUGCCAAUGACAAAACUUGAGUCAACGUGUUUCACCUGCCUUCUCAUUAACCCAGCACAAUGCAUCCUGUAGUUGUAUAAUCCCAGAUAUCUGCAUCUGUGGCUGGAUGAAGAGGUAGGAGGUCUCUUCUUACAGGCUUCAUCUUGUGCUGGGAUUGGAGCAGGGCCGGCCGGAAUGAGAGAUUCAGGUUACGACUCCCUCCAUCGGCGGCUCAGUGUUCUGGACAGACUGGUGCAUACACAUUCUGUGUGGCUACAGCUGGGUCUCAGCCACCAGGACUCCACACGUAUACUGCAGAGCCAACCGACCGGGAUAUUUUUGGUGAGGAAGUCAACCAGCUUGCAGAGAAAAGUAAUAUCUCUACGCAUGGACGAACACAGUGCAGUUCCUGUCAAAGACUUCCCUGUCAAGGAGAGCCAAUACAGUAAGCAUCUGGAAACCCUUAAUUUAUUAGUUUUUUUUAAAUGCAUGACGCUGACUUCUAAGAAUCAGGUUUCAAAGACUUGUGAGGGACACAGCUGGCAGGCAUGAGGAGUCAUUGGUAAAUUUUCAAAAAAAGUUUUAUUUACCAGGAAAAAAAGAAAAAAAUUAAACAACCAAUUUACAAAAGAUACAUUAAAGCUCUGGGUUCAUCUAAACAGAACUUAACACAGGCUACAGUAAGUUAACAUGAACUGAACAGGCUAAACUGAACGUGGGGUAAACGUAUUAAGUUGCUGAUCAACCAUUCUGACACAGGGGGAUAGACUAAUACGUAACAUUUAAACAAACUACAGUAACCACAAAACAUGUCAAGAUACUUAAUAUUAUGUAAGAAAAAUGAAUGAAACAUAUCAAACUGCCGAAACUGCCCUU